rnacentral:hammerhead_ribozyme from 1 species
GUACUGCUGAGGAGUCCCAUAAUAGAAUGAAACGUCUGUUCAGUAC